UACGUAGGUGGCAAGCGUUGUCCGGAAUUAUUGGGCGUAAAGCGCGCGCAGGCGGCCUUUUAAGUCUGAUGUGAAAUCUUGCGGCUCAACCGCAAGCGGCCAUUGGAAACUGGGAGGCUUGAGUACAGAAGAGGAGAGUGGAAUUCCACGUGUAGCGGUGAAAUGCGUAGAUAUGUGGAGGAACACCAGUGGCGAAGGCGACUCUCUGGCCUGUAACUGACGCUGAGGCGCGAAAGCGUGGGGAGCAAACAGG
rnacentral:rRNA from 1 species